rnacentral:rRNA from 1 species
UCCCGAGCGUNGUCCGGAUUUAUUGGGCGUAAAGGGAGCGCAGGCGNUCAGGAAAGUCUGGAGUAAAAGGCUAUGGCUCANCCAUAGUGUGCUCUGGAAACUNUCUGACUUGAGUGCAGAAGGGGAGAGNGGAAUUCCAUGUGUAGCGGUGAAAUGCGUAGAUAUAUGGAGGAACACCAGUGGCGAAAGCGGCUCUCUGGUCUGUCACUGACGCUGAGGCUCGAAAGCGUGGGAAGCGAACAGGAUUAGAUACCCUGGUAGUCCACGCCGUAAACGAUGAGUGCUAGGUGUUAGGCCCUUUCCGGGGCUUAGUGCCGGAGCUAACGCAAUAAGCACUCCGCCUGGGGAGUACGACCGCAAGGUUGAAACUCAAAGGAAUUGACGGGGGCCCGCACAAGCGGUGGAGCAUGUGGUUUAAUUCGAAGCAACGCGAAGAACCUUACCAGGUCUUGACAUCCCGAUGCUAUUCUUAGAGAUAGGAAGUUACUUCGGUACAUCGGAGACAGGUGGUGCAUGGUUGUCGUCAGCUCGUGUCGUGAGAUGUUGGGUUAAGUCCCGCAACGAGCGCAACCCUUAUUGUUAGUUGCCAUCAUUAAGUUGGGCACUCUAGCGAGACUGCCGGUAAUAAACCGGAGGAAGGUGGGGAUGACGUCAAAUCAUCAUGCCCCUUAUGACCUGGGCUACACACGUGCUACAAUGGUCGGUACAACGAGUUGCGAGCCGGUGACGGCAAGCUAAUCUCUGAAAGCCGAUCUCAGUUCGGAUUGGAGGCUGCAACUCGCCUCCAUGAAGUCGGAAUCGCUAGUAAUCGCGGAUCAGCACGCCGCGGUGAAUACGUUCCCGGGCCUUGUUCACACCGCCCGUCACACCACGAGAGUUUGUAACACCCGAAGUCGGUGAGGUAACCUUUUAG